AUAGCGUUAAACGGAGAUUAAUAGGGUACGAAUCAUUGUGAUAUUUUUCACUUUGCGAACAGCACACAUAUGGAUGUUAAAAGGGUGCUAUGGGAAGUUUCGAGAUGUAACGCGUGUAAAAUAGUGUUUCUGAUCUCUUUUUUGAUAGCGUUCUAUGUAGUGACGCAGUCCACCGUGACACAGACUAAAGGUAAAGAUGUAAAACGGCAGUUAAACGAUGGUAGACCGUGUACAAGUACGUUCUUGCAGCCACAAAGAGCCAACAUGGAGAAGAUCUCGUCCUACGAGUUCCCAGACGUUCAACAUUAUAUGCAUGGUAAACA